rnacentral:rRNA from 1 species
UACGUAGGGUGCAAGCGUUGUCCGGAGUUAUUGGGCGUAAAGAGCUCGUAGGCGGUCUGUUACGUCGGCUGUGAAAACCUGGGGCUCAACUCCGGGCCUGCAGCCGAUACGGGCAGACUAGAGUUCGGCAGGGGAGACUGGAAUUCCCGGUGUAGCGGUGAAAUGCGCAGAUAUCGGGAGGAACACCGGUGGCGAAGGCGGGUCUCUGGGCCGAUACUGACACUGAGAAGCGAAAGCGUGGGGAGCGAACAGG